AUGGCUAACUGCUUGUCAAUAAGACGCUACAAACGUGUUUGUCGAAGGGGAUGGUAGCCUACUGUUCAACAAUAGACAUCUUAAGCAUCUUUCUGACAAGAUAGCCGUCCAUGAACGCAGCAUGGACAACGUGGUGAAGUUUGGUGAACAUGUGCAGCCAAACAGCUAGCUAACUCAGAGCGCAUUCAAACAUGGAGCUGGCCAGCGUAUGACUCCACGGUGAGGAGAAAAGGCAGCUGCAGGCCAGAGAGGAUGCACUGCAGAUUGUGAGAGAAGUUGAACCCAGGACUGACCUCUCUGCUUGAAAAAACACAGGGCGGCUGUUGCAGAAAUUGGGUCAGGCAUAAUCUGCAGGGCAGCAGAGCCUGGCUAGUCAUGAUUCUGCUAGGCCUAAUGCUAGAGAGCCACAGGAGGCAGACUUCAAAUGAGAGAAGAUCCAGCCCAGAGGCAGGAUUGGCCUGUGAUGGUGUGCAUCUCUUCUCCACCCUGCAAUGCAUCCACUUCUUAUUAACUUCUGUUAGCUCUACAAGGCAUCUUGCUCAGGUUAUCCGCUUCGUUAUUCCUAGCAGAGUGCAGCAGUGACAAGCAGUGUUUAUAAAUUCAAAAUGAAUCGAAAAGUAUGGCUUUAAAAUCGUUGCAUUAUAUAGUAAUCUGCAGUUCACAACACCGCUUGAUAUUGUGCUUUUUGGCUUAUUUACUUAAGAAACAAAUGGGAAGCUACAGUGUGAGGAAAAUGUGCAUCCCAUUUCCAUUUCUGUAUUCACAGAUACACUUACAAUGCACCUGCCAAGAAGCGUACAAUGUUAUAUUUGAUUUAAUAUUAGAAAGUAUACGGUAAAAUCUGAGUCAACAGCAAUGUUGUAUAAACAGUAAUGGGAUGUUGAUUGGCGCCAGAAUAUUACACGUUUUUUCCUCACUUUAGUCAUGAUUAAAGCAGAGGUGUUCUUUGUUUAAAGCACCUCUGAUAACAUCCUCCUGCAGAUCCACAAUAAAAGAAAUCAACCUUUAAUUUCUGAUUAUACAAUAACACAUCUUGUGCAUUAGUUUGUUUCCCUUCUGUGUUGAAAAUGUGUCGAUAGUUUAAUUAAAUUACACAAAACAUUACACAAAAUAAAACCAAGCAAGCUCAAUUUUCACUGAAAUAGAAAAUUUAUUGAAUGAGAAGAUUAUUAUUGAAGGUCUAAAUUACAAUAGAAACAACGAUAUUCUUCCUUAAAUGGAAUAAUUAUGUUUUUCCUUUCAGGUGAAAUAAAAAGACUGAUGCUUUGCAAUAUAUUUGAAGAAACAAUUAUGAAUAAAAAGUGUGUAAAAGCAUUUUUAUGUGGAACCCAUUUUUUCUUGAAUGUGAUAUGAACGUUAAACUCCAUUAUUUAAUCAGU